rnacentral:lncRNA from 1 species
GAUGCUUUUGUUUAUGAAAUUUUAUUAAGGCGGGCACCUUUGGGGACAAUAUCGGUCCACGAUACUCCAUGCUUGACUACGCAUUCAACAAGGGUCAUCAUGCCCGUUUCAUAGAGAACGGAGAGGUAAGUAAUAUGAAUGAAAUAUUGAUAAAUUUUUUCGGAUUGAUGAAAAUAAUUUCCUAACUUUUGGUGUUCACUUUUUGACAGAUGCUCCAGCCACUGCGCAUGAGGGGGCACGGGGUUCAUGGGCAUAUGGAAUAUGACGAGCUCUACGCGCCGUUCUUCAAGUGAUCCCGGCUAUUGAUUUUGUGUUGCAGUUCAAGCGUCAGCCGCCGAUGCUUGUCCAUGCAGCUCUGACAGCUCUGAUUGACCGGUGGCGAUCGGAGACCCAUUCUUUCCAUCUCCCAUGCCGGGAGAUGACGAUGACCCUCGAGGAUUGGUCGAUGAUUACUGCCAUGCCGAUCGAGGGUCAUGCACUGACCGGGCGAGUGGAGAGGACCAACUGGCGGCAGAGGGUUACCACCCUCAUCGGCGACUGCCCCGAGGCUAAGGGUAACCGGACAUCCGGUGUGCCGUUGCCCUGGCUCUCAGAGCACCGGAAGACAUGCCCCCAAGACGCCGAUGAGCCGACUGUGGAGUGGUAUGCGAGGGCCUACCUGUGGUAUCUUCUCACGGAGACCGUGUUUCCAGACGGAUCCGGGAACUCUGCCAACUGGUCGUAUCUGUUCUUCCUAGCUGACUGGGAUGCAGGGUACAGUUGGGGGACCGCAUCUCUUGCCUACCUAUACCGUUCGGUAAGAGAGUAUCUAAUUGCCUACCUACGAAAGUAUGUCCAUGCCAUUUUGUUAUAUCUGAUCCUCAUUUAAUGUUUUGCAGCUUGACGACGCAACCCAGAGGACGGGAGACAAGUCCAAUAUGGGUGGCUUUGUCUGCGGCCUCUCCAUUUGGAUGUGGGAGAGGCUGCCGGAAGGGCGUCCGGAGAAGCUGCCAAGACGCCCAUGGGGUGCCUAUAGCGAGGACGGCGACGCUGCUCGAAACCCCACCGUAGCUUACGAGUGGGACGUUGUCAAACUCUACACGGGCCUAAACAAGACUUCGUACAAGACAUACACCAAUGAGUUGGACGCUUUGACGCAUUGGCAGGUAUAUGAACUCGCUCAACACCUUCCUCUUUGAUUCCACUUGGACCGAGAGUGGGAACUUAUCAACGUAUAUGUAAUAGGUAAACUGGUGGCCGUAUCAUGACCAAGAGUGGGACUUUGAUCUGAACGUGAUGUGCGAUAAGGACCGUGGUCUCUGGCGGUGCAUCGUGCCCAUGAUCUGUGUGUACGCCGUCGAGUGGCACUUGCCACACUGCCUGGCCACGCAGUUUGGGGUGUAUCAGCAUACCCCACCGGGCCCGCCCACCGAUACCGGCGGCCACGCGCUCCACAUGUGAGCGAUUUGUUCUUCGUGCCCAUGAUUUCAUUGCGUGGCGACUUUAUUACGAUGUUUGUUGUUGCUAAUGCCUUGCAGGAUGAGCCAGCAGAAGAAUCAGUCAAUCACAGACUGGGGAGAGGAGCAUAAAACUCAUGUGACGGAGUGGAACCGAUGGAGGUACUAGAAAGACGGGGAGAGGAAAGUGACUGACUGGGAUGCUUACCUGGAGCGACACAUGAAGUGGUACGAUGAUGGCCAGAAGCACCGUCCUCAUCUCAGGCCUCGGUGGACGGCGGAGGACAUCACGGAGUUGGAGAGGGAUGACCCCGAGGAAGAGGCCUACCAGACCGGCAUCAGAGACAUGCAAAGUGGAUUUAGGGAGUUUGCACCCCUCAUCAACAGAGUGGUAAGUUUGAACCGACGGUUGUAUUUAAAUUAUUGUAUUCAUCAUCGUGACUGACUUAUGCCGUUGCAGUCUGGUGAGCUGAACAGAUGCAUCUUUGAAGCCUCAUAUGCACUAGGUGAUGCCCCCGAGAGCGUACAAUCUGAGAACAAAAUGAGGGGGACGAUGAAAGUACAAUUUCAGCCUCCUCGGAACAGAUGCAUCUUAUUCACUUGCAAUCAUAAACCCGAUACUUAUUAUGCCCUUGUUUCUUUGUGAGUGCAGAAGUUCGUGAAGCGUUGUCGCAAGCUGGUAGGCCUGCUUGGGUGUGCUGGAGUUGGGUCAGUUGAAGCUUAUCAUCGCGGAGCCACACAGGGUCACAUCGCCUCAUCGAGCCAUGGUCCCUCGUCGUCUAGGUUGGUUGAGGAGGGGGAGGACGAGGAUGAGGAGGAGGAUGAGGAGGAGGCCACAAAUGAAGGAGAGGAGGAGGAGGCCUAUCAUGAGGAAGAGGAGAAUGAGAGCGAUGGUGAGGAGGAGUACGAUGAAGAUUACGGACCUCCAACAACUCAAUCAUCUCAACCAUCUCAGCUGCAGAAGAGGAAUCCGAAGAAGAAGGAUUUGCUGAGUCCGGACCCUUUCCAGAGACCGCUUCCUUGACGGUCCAAGAAGAACACUGAAGAGACUCGUUCAAAGAGGAACGAGUACCGUGCCUCCAAGAACAAGAGGGGAAGGCUGAAUUAAAUUCUGAUAUUCGAUACUUGACUGUAGUUGAAAAGUCUAGUGUUUGUGAAACUAUGUGUUUGCUAUUUGAACUAUGUGUUUGAUAUUUGUGAAACUCCGUUUGCUAUGUGGAACUAAGUAGUUGAACUUUGUUUGCUUAUUAUGCACAAGUUUAUGUGGAAAUUCGUAUGUGAUGCCCAAGUUUAAUUGUUGUUUGAGAUAUGUUAUUUUGACUCUAUAUCAUUGCUGUUUUUGGCUCUAUAUCAUCGUUUGAGAUCUGUUAUUUUUUGAAAAGAAGAAAGAAAUUGAACUUGAUAUAGGCAAGACCCUACCGCCAAGGACUCUGGCGAUAGGAUCAGACAGCCUACCGCCAGCCCCUGUGGCGGUAGGGUGACCGUACCGCUAGGGCGCUCGCAUUUUUCAUUACAGAAGGUUUUCGAGGCAAAAACCCUGGCACACCCUACCGCCAGGGGAGCUGGCGGUAGGGUUAGACAGCCUACCGCCAGGUUCCCUGGCGGUAGGGUGCUAAUCCACGUCAGCACGUGAAGACGGCUGCCGCCCCCUCCAUCGCACCCUACCGCCAGGGUCCCUGGCGGUAGGCUGUAUAACCCUACCGCCAGUUCCCCUGGCGGUAGCGAAAGGGUCAAAUCCCGAAUUUUUUCUGAACCGAGGUCAGAUCCUGAAUUCGUAUCCCAAAAGGGUCAAAACACGAAAUUUUACCCCUUAGAGGCAGCUUUCCCUCCAAACACUGUGGAUACUCUAAGGAAGAAUGAUCACAUAGAGUAUACGAUGGUCUUAUAAUAUUCCAAAUUCUUUAAAGGUUAUACCAAUUGCAAUGCUACUAAUUCAUUCCUUCUUAGAAAACUUUUUCUUACGAAAAUUUCACUAUCAUAUGCUUAUUCUUGCAUAUUAUAAAAAAAUGACAAUUUACUUGUAAAUUGUCUGAAAAAUUUGUCAUUGUUUGUUUUAAAAAAUCAUUCUUUUCUUAAACUACCAAUGUCACUAAUUCACUUUCCUUAGAAAAACAUCAUUUUGUGUGUGUGUAGAUACACACACAAGUACUAUACUAUGUGUGUGUAAAUUACAUUGGAGUGUAAAAAUUGCAAUAUUAUAUGCUUAUUCUUUGCGUGUUAUUAAAAGUGUAAUUUAGGUGUAAAGUUUUGUGAGGGUAAUAUCAAUGCCACUAAUUCAUUCUUUCUUAAAAAACUUUAUUAUUGUGAUUUGAUUUUAGUUUUUUGUUUUAUUUUCUUUAUUUUUAAAGGCUAAUACCAAUGUCACUAAUUCAUUCUACCUUAUAAAACUUUUUUUGCUUUUAUUUACCUAUUUAUUUUUAUUUUUUUCUUGUGUCUUACAAGGUAUCGAGUAUGUUUCUGUUAUGUUUCAUACUAAGCCCAAGUAUGUGGUGGUCUUGUGUUUUGUGAUUGCAAAGGGGCAAGUGCUUAGGUCUAUCUUAUUUGUUUUGUUUCUUUCUUCAGGAAGGGUAGUAGUCUGCCUUAGAUUCUCUCUUCUCUACAAAGCCUUCUGUCCACGUGUUAUUUUGUUUUGUUUCUUUCUUCAGGAAGGCUAGUAGGCUACCUAAAAUUCUUCCUUCUCUAGAAAACCUUCUAUGCAUCAGGUUGCCUCAAAAGAUUUCUUCUCUAGAAAUCUUCCGUCUACUAGAAGAACCUUUCUCUACAUUUUGUUAAUUCAAUUUCAAUGAUCCAGGCAAUGUUUUUUACAAGAUAAUUAGUCUUGCAUGUUUGUUUUUCAAUUUCUAUGACCAAUGCCACUAAUUCUUUCCUUCUGAGAAUUUCUUUUUACGAAAAUCCCACUAUUUUGGACUUAUUCUUGCAUAUUAUAAAUAAUCACAAUCAUUGUAAAUUGUCUGAAAAUGUUGCCAUUAUUUGUUUAAAAAAGAUUUGAAAUGCUUGAGCAUCUUUUUUUAAAUGUCACGAAUAUUUUUUUUAUGGUGCGAGAUAUUUUUUAAAUACUCAAACACUUUUCUUACAUUGUACUCCAUCCGUCCGGAAAUACUUGUCAGAGGAAUGGAUGUAUCUAAAUGUAUUUUAAUUCUAGAUACAUUUAUUUUUUUGCAUAUUUCCGACAAGUAUUUCCGGGCGGAGGGAGUAUAAACAUUUCUUAAGUCUGACACGGAUAUGUUUUGACACGGAUAUGUUUGUAAAAUACGUGGUUUUUUUAAUGUCAUCAUGACAUCCUUGAUCUUGAGCCGUAUGUUUGUAAAGUACGUGGGUUUUUUAAUGUCACCGACCGCCUCUCCCCGCUCAGCAACAGCAACUGCGCGGGCAUGGCGGCCGUCGCCCUGCUGCGGCCCCCCGGCGUCCCCUCCCGACUUUACUUGGUGCUCGCUCGUCGCGCUAGACCAGGGGGCGCCUGCUCACCACUCACCAGCAAGCAAACAGGUCGCCAUGACAUGCCGUCCAGCAACGGCGCGCUGACGUCCAGCAAGCUUAAUGGAAUUCGUUCGUGAUUAAGGUUUUUAUGAAUCUUUUUGGAUUUUUAGGAUCGCGUACCAGGCCGGGGCACUCCAUCGAUCGCGCCAACGAAAUAUCUGUGCGCGCGCCCGCCCGCGAGAUUAGAUAUUUCCCCGCCACGCCAGAAAAGGCCCAGACACUUGGGUUGGCGCCGCUUUUGCCCCCUCUCCCCUCCCCUAAUAUCUGCAGAAAUAGCAUCGCAAACGUCUGUGUGGCUCACUCAUUCAUCCUCUGCCUGCUUCCAUCCGUUGCACUGCUACUAUCUCUAUAUAUCCCACUCCAGGCCGAAUCCCGGACCCAUUCAUUCAUCAGUUCCUUCUGUUCAGACUUCAGAGAGGUCAAGUAUACCGCGAUCCACCGGUCAAGGCGGCCGUCGGCAUUGCCCAGGUAACAUCUAACCCGCCACCUGCUCUACUUUCUCAUUUUGUUUUUUGUAAGUGGUCACUGGAUCCGUGUUUCCGUCGCUAUGAUUGGCAGGUCCGUGUGAUGUUUGAUUGUUCUUUCUUUCUUUCACAAGGUAACCGGAUUACAGACUUGAUGUCGGCGGGCUGGACGGAUGAGAGGCAUGCAAUUUAUAUAAGGUCCCUAGAAGCGUGUUUCGUCCGCGAUCAACUGUACAAACACUUGGUUCCAUUGAACAAUGCGGCAGAGCCAGGGCCUUCAAGCCCUUCUCUAAAAAAUUAUCAACUCCACAACCACGGUCACGAUGCCAAAAAGAAAGAUCCGGGUACCAAUGGGUUCAAGGUUCUCCAAGGUGGAGUGUGGAGGAAAGUCGAAUUUAAGAGGAGGAGCAAUGCUUGUGCUCAAGUGCGGCCCAAACGGCGCCUGCCUGGAAACCCCUGGAUUCAGUAAGUGAUCGGGAAUCCGGUACCUGGACUAUCCCUAGGAGCACCCCGUUGUUCCAUGGAAAGGAAUUGGGAGCUCGCAAGGGAGAAGAUCUUCUCGAUGAAUAUGCAGGUAACUAGCUCAGUUACCUCAUCUAGCGUUUGGUGUGCACCAUCAUACAUCCAUGACACACGUAUGUUUUUGUAGCAUCAACUGAUUUUGUGGAAGAAGCAUCAACGUAGAAAAGCCGGUUGUGCUUAAGCUCCAAGAUAUUGUAUGGUUCUUUUCUGUCUGUCUGUAUGUACCCAUGUUAUCCAUAAGCUGACAACAGAUGGUUAGGGACGUUGUUGAGUUCUGGUAGUAACCAAGUUCUCAAGCAGCAUCCUGUGGUGAACUAAAUUUCUGAUGCCAUGUUUCUCUCUGUUGAGGUCUCUGAUCAGAACUUUGCUGAGGACGAGGCACAAGUUGAUGCGGAAUCAAGGAGAUUAAGCACGUACUGCGCCCGAAUGAUCAAGUGAAUUUACAGGAUUAAUUAACAUAGUCUGUUGCUAGUGUUGAGAAAAGCAACACACCCAAAGAGCUUGUUUGCUACCUCAAGACCUGUUGGAAUUUGGAAGCGAUGAUGCUCUCAAGUAAAGCAUGGAAGAGUAUUUACUCAGAAACUGUGCAACUAGUAUUUACUCAGAAGUGUUCACGAUUUAACAAAUUAGACUCUUGUUAUGUAUCUCUCUAUUUGGCGAAUAUAUUUGACACGAUUUUAUUCCAUUCUAGUGUCCCAUAAUGAGGAUCAAUAGGUCACUCACUACUUAUUACCAUAACAGUCGAUAGUAAAUUAGUAAUAUUUCUUAUUUUUUUGGGUGUCAAGCUUUAUCUUUGCUCAUUCUCACGGAGGUGCUGCUCAUAGAGAUAACAACAUGACACCCCGCGUGUUGCCACCAGAAUAGGCUGCGAUAUAUUUUCAUGAGCUUGGAUUGUAUGAAAAUAAAUAUUUGAAUUGAUAAUAUAAUAAAUAUGUUUGAUCAUAUCUUAUCUGGACUCGGUUACCGUUAGGGAGUUCGAGAAAAAACCCACAGAAGUUUAUGAGAGAAGAUAACGAGUAUGAGGCACACAUGCAUUGAUGUAUGCAUGCAAUUAAUGUCUAAAGCUUAUUGGGUAAAGAGGUGGCAUAGUUGGGUAUGCUCUAAAAUAGUUAGAGGUGACUAGCUAUUUAGAUAUAGAAGAUAUGUGCUCAUAGGGAUUGCGAAAAAGUGGCCCGAUUGUUUUUCCUUUCCCCUUUUCAUCUUUUGCCCCAUGUACAAUCUCCUACUUAUCCUUUGAAAUAAAACACUUUAGCCAUAUGUAAGUUGCUUGUUAAAUUUGGGUAGGUCGAUUUUUUCUGACCAUUGAUUCUUUUAUCAAGAUUUGUGUUGUAUUUUCUUCCCCUUGUGUUGUUUUCGAGACUUCUUCAUUCGAGGGUCAGUCAGUUUUCUUAUUGUUGUGAAGCCCGUUACCCGCUGACUGGCUUUUUUUCCUUCUAUUUUAUGUGUUUUACUUUUUCUUCUUUAGUCGAUUUUUAUUGUUUCUUAAUGGAUAUUUUUGGGAUGUUGUGUGAGUGUAAAUGUAUUCACAGAAGUAAUAUACAAUGUGUGUGUAACUUAUACUAGAGUGCAAAAAUGGCAAUAUUAUAUCUUUAUUCUUUGCAGAUUACCAAAAGUGUAAUCCAAGUGAUCAAUGCCACUAAUUCAUACUUCUAUCAAAAAAUUAAUUUUAUUAUUUCAUUUUCUUUCUUCUUUAAGGGUUAUACCAAUGUCACUAAUUCAUUUCUUCUUAGAAAAGUUUUUUUGGCCAAAAUUUCUCUAUUAUAUGCUUAUUCUUACAUAUUAUAAAAAAAUCAAAAUUUAUUUCUAUGUUGUGUGAAAAUUUUGUCAUUAUUUAUUUUAAAAUAUUAAUUUAAAACAACAUUUUUUAUUUUUUUUGUAUAUACCGGAGCACCAAAAUUGUGCUAUUAUAUGAUUAUUCUUUGCAUAUUAAAAAAGUGUAAUUUUAGUGCAAAGUUGUGCAAGGAGUGAUAUUUCAUUUUAUUUUUCGUAAAGAGUAAUACCAAUGCUACUAAUUCAUUCUUCCUUACAAAACUUCAUUAUCAUUUUUGUUGCAGUUCUUAUUUCAUUUUCUUUCUUCUUAAAGGGUGAUACCGAUGCCACUAAGUUAUUCUUCCAUAGAAACUUUGUUUUUGUCUUUUGUAUUUUGUCUUACAGGGUAUCUAGUAAGUUUCUGUUAUGUUUCAUACCAAGCCCAAGUGUCUGGUGGUCUACUGUUUUGUGGUUCUAAUGGGUUGAAUAUAAGGAUGGCAAUGGGUCGGGUUUGGAUCGGGUUGAACAAUAUCAAAUCCAUAUCCAUAUCCAUGAAGACAGUCUUUGCCCAUCCAUGAAAAAAUCCACGGGUGAAAAAUUGUGUCCAUGUCUAAACCCGAUGGAUAUCCAUACCCAAUGGAUAUCCAUUGAGUCCUCUCUAGACAUAUAAAUAAGACAUAACACAAUGUUAACAUAAGCUCUUCCAUUCUUCACUUCGUGGCAUGCUAGGCUUCACUUAUGGUAAAUCAACCUCCACUAACAACAUAAGAUCAUUUAGUACUUUUCUAACAGAUGAGAAUGACGAGUCAGUUAACAAGGAGAUAAAAAUAAAGGAAGGGCGUUGGGGUAUGUUACACAGGGUAUUGAAUGUCAAUUAAUAAAACUUAUGACAGGGAUUGUGUAAUUUCUUUUGCAUGUUUUGAAUAACAAAGUGUAAAAUUGCACUAGGACAUGUAACUGUGGGGGUGGGGAUAGCCGAUUUUUGCCAAUUAAGUCAUACUAUCGGGUCAGGUUUGGAUAUACCCAUGGGUACAAGAUUAUAUCCAUGCCCUACCCACGAGCAAUCGGGUCGGGUUUGGGCGCUGCCCAUGGACAGAAAAGCAUAUCCAAACCCUAUCCAUUCGGGUCGGAUAUCCAUGAAUAUCCAUGUCCAUGGAUAAAAUUGCCAUCCUUAGUCGAAUACUUGAGUUUAUCUGUUAUUUUGCUUUGUUUCUUUCUUCAGAAAGAGUUGUAGGUUGUCUUAGAUUCUUUUUUCUCUAGAAAGCCUUCUGUCCAUCUGUUAUUUUGUUUUCUUUCUUCAGGAAGGAUAGUAGGCUUCUUAAAAUUCUUCCUUCUCUAGAAAACCUACUUCCAUCAUGUUGCCUUAAAUUCUUUCUUCUCCGUAAAUCUUCCGUCUACUACCACCACCUAUCUCUAUGAUUUGUUGCUUCAAUUUCUAUCAUCCAUGCAUUGUUUUUCACAAGAUAAUUAGUCUUGCGAUUUUUUUAUUUCUAUGAUCCGUCGCUAUCAGAUUAGCCGAUAUGUAGCCCAUGUACUAUUUCCGUGGGCUCACCUUCGUUUUUGUGAGCAAAGACUUGAGUUUGGCUGCUGCAAAAAGACCGGUAGUCAGAGAAUUUAGGUCAUGCAUUUUUUAUUGUACAUGAAUGUUUCUCUCUCCGUCUGAUACGGAAUUAAUGGCAAAUUAAAAUUGACUGGCCAAAAUUCUAAAUUCAGUCACCCGACCCUUAAACGGCCCUGAAAUAAAAAAAAACUUGGGUCUUGUUCUCUCCUGUCAUCUUGGACAUGAUCAAAGGGCCAUACAUUGCGAUGCCUUGGGAGGUUGACACUGAUCGAAUUGAAGAGUUGCGGGUGCCUGAGCGGCAGCUCGACCAGCUAACUCACUCAUCUACGGAAAUUUGUUUCCGCAUACCCCACAACAUUUUCAAACCCAACGUUGAUGAGGCUCUCAUCGUCCUCCCUCUGGAUUAGCUCGCCGUUGCAGAAGACCUUGGAGUCAAACACGAGGACGCGGUAGUGCAAUACUCAUGGUCUGCUAGGUUGACUGCCAUGACCUUUGAACUCGAUGCCACGCACGAGGAAGAGGUCGCCCUUGUGGACCAGGGGUCAUGUCUCAUGUCUCCACGAAGUAGGGCCUGAGGUAGGACUGUAUGGGGUCGUUGGUGAUGCCCUCGACAGUGUCGUUCACAAGUAGGGUAUGCAUGUGCCUCCCAUACGCGGAGUGGCGCACUGGUGCACGGGCACGACGUCGGCGAUGCGGACACGCAAGCUAGAGCGGUCACCAAUCUAGUUGGCCAAACCAAACCAAUAAAUUGGAGAAGAAAUACGAGGCUAUAUUAAUCAUGCAUGCAUAAAAGAGUUCAGAGAAAACUUAAAUAACAUUCAUGGAUAGAUCUGGUCAUAAACUCACAAUUCAUCGGAUCUCAACAAACACACCGCAAAAAGUCAUUACAUCAAAUAGAUCUCCAAGAACAAUAAAAAAAACAUUGUAUUGAGAAUCAAAAAGAGAAAAGAAGCCAUCUAGCUACUAACUAUGGACCUGCAGGUCUGUAGCAAACUACUCACGCAUCAUCGGAGGGCAGCAAGGAUGAUGAAGAACCCCUAUGUGAUCGUUUCCCCUACGACAGAGUGCCGGAAAGGGCCCCGGAUGGGAUCUCUCGAGAACAGAGGCUUGCGGCGGCGAAAAAAGUAUUUCGUGGACUCCUCGGUAGGUUUCCUGAUUUUAGAGUAUUCAUAGAGGUGGAGUUAGGUCAACGGAAUUUCGUGGGCCCCACUACCCACCAGGGCGCGUCAGGGGCCUGUGGUGCGCCCUGGUGCCUAGUGGGCCACUCCUCCAUCUUCUCGUGGGCUCCAGAAACUUCCCGGGUCUUUUAUUGACAGAAAAAAAUCUCCAAAAAGUUGCGUGGCAUUUGGACUAUCACUAGGCACUAAGUAGGUUGGUCCCAAAAAAUUAUAUAAAGUUGCUUGUAAAUCUAUAUAAAACAUCCACGAUUGAUACUAUAAUAGCAUGUACCAAUCAAAAAUUAUAGAUACAUUGGAGACGUAUCAAUGGUUGCGGCGGUGCCUUGCGCUCGAGGGCCGUCGUAUCCGAGGAGGAGCGAGGGGCGAUACAGCAGGCGCGGUACGACCGACGCAAUGUUGGUCGCCGCUCCGCGUUUGCUAAGAGCAUCGUGGCGCUGUAAUGGGUCCGAAACCUCGCUGCCACGUGGGCGCUCGACCGCUCCGUCACCACCCAGAGACGAUGGUCGCCGCCUUGAUGGCAAGCUCGCCAAGAUCGACGAGGAAUGGUCGCUUAGCGACUCCUCUGCCAACGUCGGCAGGGGCAAGGCUGCCGCCAUCGGCAGUGACCAAGGCGGCCUUCCGGACCAUGCAACAGGAGGCGGACCGGCUCCUCUGUGAGCGGCAGGCAGCCGCCGAAAAAGGUUGUUGUGGCCCUCCGACGCCCUUUAGCUGCUGGAGGGACGACGACGACACAUACGGCGAUGACAGUGCGGCAGGACAAGGCGGCUGCGCAUGUGAGGUGGUACGUUUUAGGUAAUUUUUUAUUGUUUUAGUUAAACGAUCGAAAUAUCUUUUGUUUUAUAUAAAUUAUAUCUGAGCUUGAAUGAAAUCGGUCGAUUUUGUUUGAAUUUCGUCCAGUUUGUUUAAACCCUUUUUAAAAUGUAUGCGGGUAGCGCUGGAUUACCGCUUACCGGGUGUCCAAAUCGCCCCGGCGCAAAACCAGGUGCGUGCGUGCACGGCAGUUCUGAUUUUCCAACGCCGAAAGCGACGACCUUUGUGUUUUCUAUUCUCCUGAUAACAAAAGCCGCCGCCCAGUCCGAGCCUGACUGGAUCCGAGCCCUCCCCGGUGUCGCCAUCAACCCCGCCGGGCCGGCGAUUUGUCCCAGCUAUCUAAUGGCCGAGCCGCUCCCCUUUGACCGGAGUUCGGGAGUCCGGAUCCAGCGGCCGGCUGACCUAUAAUAGUACGGGGAGAGGAGCUGAGAGGGGAAAAGGCAGGAGUCCGUCGGCGAUGGGCGGGUGGGGCUGCUUCUGCUGCGGCGACCUGUUCGGCGCCGGGGGAGAAGCCGCGGUCCGGCUGCCGGAGCCGUUCCAGCUGCCGGCGCCCUUGCUCGCAUGGCCGCAAGGUUUCUGACGCCUUCUCCUCUCUUAUCAGUUCUUGAAUCAGUUCGUGGAUCGUUUUCUUAUGACCAUUGAUUGAUGAUUGGCCUGAUGCAGCUUCAUGAUUGAAAGUAGUACUCGCUUGUAUGAGUCCCUACUUAAUUUGUUGAUUACUAAGUACUUUCUUGUUCAAUUAUUAUCAUCAUUGACUGUUCUGUUGUUUAUUUCUUUCCAAAAGGGGAGUUUCAUACGGUGAUAACAAUACAAUUUAUCCUGAUUAGUUUAUAAUUCUGUCCUACUAUGCUAUGCAGAUUCCACUUCCCGGUAUAUAUUAUUGAAUGAACACAGUGAUUAAUAAAUCUAUAAAAAGAUGGAUUCCCUCAAGGGAAUUUCUUGUACAUAGCUUGUCGUAGUGGGUACCUCUUGUUACUUGCGCUUGAAGUGGCUUAGAUAGGAUCACCAUGCUUUACUUGGAAGGCAUAUCAUUUUAGAAGGUGGCGAUCGUAGCCUCAAAGGUAUUCUUUGUGGGGCAAGAGUAAUUUGUGACCAUAUAUCAUGAGAACUUUAGCUGGCUCAUUCAAGAAGCGAAAUCUGUAAGUUUAAGUUUGUACAGGCCACCCGGACUCGUUACUUUUUAUUUUUUGUUGUGUCGGAGUUGCAAUUUCCUUCAUCUUUCUUUAGUAUAGAGCGAAUAAUUGCAUGUGCAAAACAAUGUAUUUGUUUUUCAAACUGAUUGUUGUUUGCUUUGCCAAAUAUAUUUGCUUUGCUGAACACUUGGACCUUGUAGUAACUUUGUCUGGCAACUACUUUACAGGACGGGACUUCGCAAAGGGCGUGAUUUGCAUAGGAGAACUUGAUAUUGCAAAUAUUACCCAAUUCCGGAAUAUAUGGAGCUACUCUGGAGCUACGUUCUAUGAGCCAGAAGAGGUUCCUGAUGGUUUCCACUGCCUUGGCCACUAUGCCCAACAAAAUGACCGGCUUUUACAGGGUUCCCUUGUUGUUGCAAGGGAAGCGGCUAGCUGCCAGUUAAUCAAUAGCAGGCCCGCUCUUGAGAAACCAUUAGAUUACACCCUCGUUUGGACUAAUGCUGGCGUGUAUGAAGAUGACAAUAGUGAAUGCGGUUGCUUCUGGUUGCCAUCACCCCCUGAGGGUUAUGAAGCCCUUGGCUAUGUGGUUACUAGAGGACCAAAGAAGCCCUCACUGGAGGCGGUCCGGUGUGUGCGACAAGACCUCACGGACCCAUGUGAAAACUUUAGGUCAGUCGUUAAUGUGGAACGUACAUGCCAAGUUUGGAAGACGAGGCCUUGCCACCGAGGGACAGCAGGACGAGGUAUACCUGUUGGUACAUUCUUCUGUGAAACAAAUUCAGUUAACAGUCAGGAAUCAGGCAUUCCCUGCUUGAAGAACUGUGACCCGAAUUUGAGAGCCAUGCCUGAUCUAGAGCAGAUUCAUGCACUAAUCAAGCACUAUGGCCCAACUGUUUUCUUCCACCCACAAGAGAAAUACUUGCCGUCAUCGGUUUCUUGGUUCUUCGAGAAUGGUGCUACACUGAACAAGAAAGAUAUGAAAAUGGGAGAUCCAAUACUUGCUGGGGGCUCAAACCUGCCUGCUGGUGGGACAAAUGAUGGUGAGUACUGGAUUGACCUCCCCGAUGAUGAUACGCGUGAGUUUGUCAAAGUAGGUAAUUUGAAGAGUGCCGAGCUCUAUGCUCAUGUUAAACCGGCUCAUGGAGGGACCUUCACCGACAUUGCCAUGUGGGUGUUCUGCCCGUUCAAUGGGCCAGCGACGAUAAAGGUUGGACUUGCAAGCUUUGCUCUGCAGAAGGUUGGCAGGCAUACGGGAGACUGGGAGCAUUUCACCCUCCGCAUAAGUAACUUCUCUGGAGAGCUCUCGUCUGUCUACUACUCAGAGCACAGCGGGGGCGGAUGGGUGGAUGCUUGCGAUCUGGAGUUCAUCUCAGGAAACAAGGCGAUCGUGUACUCAUCAAGGAAUGGGCACGCAAGCUAUGCGCACCCUGGCUGCUACCUGCAGGGCUCUGAAAACCUCGGCGUCGGCUUAAGAAAUGACGUCGCACGGAGCGAGCUGUCAAUCGAUUCUAGCACGAGGUACAAGAUCAUCUCCGCGGAGUACCUGGGGGACGCCGUGGCGGAACCGUGCUGGCUGCAGUACAUGAGGGAGUGGGGCCCGACCGUGACGUACAACUCACGGUCAGAGGUGGACACGGUGCUUAGCUUCCUGCCGUUCUUCCUCCGGUUCACGGCGGAGGCCAUAUUCGACAGUCUUCCUGCGGAGCUGUACGAGGAGGAAGGCCCGACCGGACCGAAGGAGAAAAACAACUGGGAUGGUGAUGAGCGGUGCUAGGCCGCGUCGCCUUUGCGGUCUAUCCCUGUUGCUUAUUCAUGUACAUUGUAUGUGGUGAGAAUGUUGGUUGGUACGGUUGAUGUAUUGAUAAAGCUUUGCAAGAGGACUUGGUAGUGCUGGGUAUUUCUAGAUCACAAUUGCAGUGUUGUGCCUACACAAAAAAAGAAAAAGUGCCGCUCUGGCUGUCUAGUUUCUACUACGUCCCAGCAUUUUGCAUUUCCCCAACUAGUUUAUCCGAGGAAGUGAGUAUUACUGAUAUCGUCCACUGAUGAUCUCAACCAGAACCAUUUUGCAUUUCCCCAAUUAGUUCUCCUGAGGAAGUGAUGGUGUACUUUUUUCUUUUUGAGGGAAGGGAUGAUAUCGUCCACUGAAGAACUAAACCAGAACCUACAUACAGGUUGGCGGAAUCGCAAUUUUAUCAUACAAUUCUACAACUUCAUGAUCUAAACCAACUCCUAUGAUAGUAGAAUCUAUUACCCACUCUGUUCAUAAAUAAGAUUUUCUAAUUUUUUCUAAACUAGCAAUGUGUCCGACUGUCCGUGUGUUGCAACAGAUCCAAAGUACUAGAAUAAUACAUGUUCACAAACUUGAAAGAGAAACACUCUAGUUUUGGUAUGUCACUAAAAAUAUACUUGUAUUGUGUUUUCACUCAAAAUAUAUUUUUCGUUACUGUUUUGAUGAGGUGAGGAGGGAUGUCGUUGGUUUCAAGAUACAGUCAUUAGAUGCAGAUCUGAUGAUCAGAAAUGACGAAUGAUAGACACACCAUCAUCACCAAGAGUCUUUUAUAGGAGUAGAGAAAUCAGAUGUAUAUAGAUACAUUACAUUUUAGUGUGUUUGUUUCAUAUUGAAAUAUCCAAAACAUCUUAUAUAUUUGCAAAUAGAGGGAGUAGUUAAGAUCCUACGGUUUGCGUUCCUACCAACGGAGCUCCAUGACAACGAAGAGCUGUGAUCCGAUCCAGGAUCAUGAUUCUGACUACCUUGCAUACAUAUAUCAGAACAGUUUUGAUAGAUAACAAGCACUCGAAUCUGACGCCAAAAAGGAAAGCAAAAUUUCCCCCUUUAUUACCCACGUUAUUUGUGUUCGUUUUCCCAUCAUGCAAGGGGAGAAGCAGUACAGAGUGUUAUACAUACAAAAGCAUCAGAGCUUCGGUUAAUGCCGCCAACUCCUCCCGUGGUGUUCGAUCGCCUGCCGCGUUCCCUCGAAGAAGAAUCCAUGGCCAUUCAGGUCAGGGAACGCGCCCGGCGCUUCUUUCCGUUCAUAUACCCCUCCUAUCCUCCUGUCUGGUGUUGCUACUUACUUGUAUGGUGUGAGUAGACUGGCAGAUCCGGCUACCUUACCUCCCAGCCUCUAUUCUCGGUGGGGGAUUUAAGCUAAUAAGCCUCUCUCUCUAUAUACAGCUCGCCCUGGUGGAGUACUCGGAUACUAGCUGCAUGAACAUGGAGGACUUGUCCUCCACAAGCCUCUG